GACGAACGCUGGCGGCGUGCUUAACACAUGCAAGUCGAGCGGUAAGGCCCCUUCGGGGGUACACGAGCGGCGAACGGGUGAGUAACACGUGGGUGACCUGCCCUCAGCUCUGGGAUAAGCCUGGGAAACUGGGUCUAAUACCGGAUAUGACUCCAUGACGCAUGUCGUGGGGUGGAAAGCCUUGUGCGGCUGGGGAUGGGCCCGCGGCCUAUCAGCUUGUUGGUGGGGUGGAUGGCCUACCAAGGCGACGACGGGUAGCCGGCCUGAGAGGGCGACCGGCCACACUGGGACUGAGACACGGCCCAGA
rnacentral:rRNA from 1 species